rnacentral:rRNA from 1 species
GAUGAACGCUGGCGGCGUGCUUAACACAUGCAAGUCGAACGGCAAGGCCCAAGCUUGCUUGGGUACUCGAGUGGCGAACGGGUGAGUAACACGUGGGUGAUCUGCCCUGCACUUCGGGAUAAGCCUGGGAAACUGGGUCUAAUACCGGAUAGGACGAUGGUUUGGAUUCCAUUGUGGAAAGUUUUUUCGGUGUGGGAUGAGCUCGCGGCCUAUCAGCUUGUUGGUGGGGUAAUGGCCUACCAAGGCGUCGACGGGUAGCCGGCCUGAGAGGGUGUACGGCCACAUUAGAACUGAGAUACGGGCCAGACUCCUACGGGGGGGAGCAGUGGGGAAUAUUGCACAAUGGGCGCAAGCCUGAUGCAGCGACGCCGCGUGGGGGAUGACGGCCUUCGGGUUGUAAACACCUUUCGCUAGGGACGAAGCGUUUUUGUGACGGUACCUGGAGAAGAAGCACCGGCUAACUACGUG